ensembl:misc_RNA
CUAAAAAUAACCAUGACAAAAUCUUAGCCUUAUCCAUGCAGCAGUUACAGCAGUGCAAGCUUCUCCACAUUCCCUUAUCAGUGUGCCUCAGCCCCAAUCUAGGAGGAGCUGCUGCUCUAGUUAGGGAGAGGGAGAUUAUCAGUCUUCAGGUUAUUUUAGAUCUUGACCUCU